rnacentral:tRNA from 1 species
AAGGCUUUAAGUUAAAAAAACUAAUAGCCUUCAAAGCUGCAAAUAAAAUGAGAUUUUAAGCCUUA